GUGAAUCAUCGAAUCUUUGAACGCACCUUGCGCCCUCUGGUAUUCCGGAGGGCAUGCCUGUUUGAGUGUCAUGAAGACUCAUCCCUUCGGGUUUCCGACUGGAUGGAUUUGGGUGUCUGCCGUCUCUGGCUCGCCUUAAAAGCAUAAGUGGUUUUACACAGGACGUAAUAAGUUUCGCCCUUUGACUGCUCACAACCCCCACCCCUGCGGCCUUUACGGGCCAAUGGGCUACCUUUAAUCUGACCUCAAAUCAGGUAGGACUACCCGCUGAACUUAAGCAUAUCAAUAAGCGGAGGA
rnacentral:misc_RNA from 1 species